rnacentral:rRNA from 1 species
UACGUAGGGUGCGAGCGUUAAUCGGAAUUACUGGGCGUAAAGCGUGCGCAGGCGGUAAUGUAAGACAGAUGUGAAAUCCCCGGGCUUAACCUGGGACCUGCAUUUGUGACUGCAUUGCUGGAGUGCGGCAGAGGGGGAUGGAAUUCCGCGUGUAGCAGUGAAAUGCGUAGAUAUGCGGAGGAACACCGAUGGCGAAGGCAAUCCCCUGGGCCUGCACUGACGCUCAUGCACAAAAGCGUGGGGAGCAAACAGG